rnacentral:tRNA from 1 species
GGGCCGGUAGCUCAGUCGGGAGAGCGUCUGCUUUGCAAGCAGGCGGUCGCGAGUUCGAGUCUCGCUCGGUCCA